rnacentral:rRNA from 1 species
GACGAACGCUGGCGGCGUGCCUAAUACAUGCAAGUUGAGCGCUGAAGGUUGGUACUUGUACCGACUGGAUGAGCAGCGAACGGGUGAGUAACGCGUGGGGAAUCUGCCUUUGAGCGGGGGACAACAUUUGGAAACGAAUGCUAAUACCGCAUAAAAACUUUAAACACAAGUUUUAAGUUUGAAAGAUGCAAUUGCAUCACUCAAAGAUGAUCCCGCGUUGUAUUAGCUAGUUGGUGAGGUAAAGGCUCACCAAGGCGAUGAUACAUAGCCGACCUGAGAGGGUGAUCGGCCACAUUGGGACUGAGACACGGCCCAAACUCCUACGGGAGGCAGCAGUAGGGAAUCUUCGGCAAUAGACGAAAGUCUGACCGAGCAACGCCGCGUGAGUGAAGAAGGUGUUCGGAUCGUAAAACUCUGUUGGUAGAGAAGAACGUUGGUGAGAGUGGAAAGCUCAUCAAGUGACGGUAACUACCCAGAAAGGGACGGCUAACUACGUG